rnacentral:rRNA from 1 species
UACGUAGGGGGCAAGCGUUGUCCGGAAUUAUUGGGCGUAAAGAGCGCGUAGGCGGUCCGAUAAGUCGGCUGUGAAAGUCCAGGGCUCAACCCUGGAAAGCCGGCCGAUACUGUCGGACUAGAGUCCGGAAGGGGAGACUGGAAUUCCUGGUGUAGCGGUGAAAUGCGCAGAUAUCAGGAGGAACACCGGUGGCGAAGGCGGCUCACUGGACCGGAACUGACGCUGAGGCACGAAAGCGUGGGGAGCAAACAGG